rnacentral:tRNA from 1 species
AGCCUCGUAGGUCAGCUUGUAGAGCGUGCGCUGUACAAAAGGUGUAGGUGGCAUCCAUGCGUGGGUUCGAAUCCCACCGAGACUA